GCCGGUGUGGCUCAGUGGAUAGAGCGUUGGCCUGUGGACUGAAAGUUUCGGGUUCGAUUCCGGUCAAGGGCA
rfam:Myotis davidii contig114144, whole genome shotgun sequence.